CUUGUUGUUGCCUACUUGCCUCGCUAACUUGCUGCUGCAUAUGUUCCUCAAAUACAUUGCAGGUCUUUCUUCAAACACAAUUGUGACAUUGGAGGUUUCCUUAUUCAUGCUUCCCAAGGUGACGUUGUAAAAGGAAUGCAUAUGGAAAGUUCUGUAUGAGCAUUUAAGCCUUAUUUCCGAGUUUUGGAUGAAAAGACGCUCUUAAUCAAGCAGAAUAAGAUACUUAUUUUGUGUGCCAUUGCUCUCUCAUUAGACCCCCUUUUCUGUUAUAUGCUGCUCGUUCAUGGUGAGAAGAAGUGCCUCGGAUUGGACAGAACGCUGCGUACCAUAGCUAUUGUUUCGCGAUCGGCCAUCGACUUCUUGUACAUGUUGCAUAUAAUUUUUCAAUUCUGUGCUACUCGUUCUAUUAAUCCAGUCGACAUACUUGUGAUUCUUCCUCUUCACAGGUGCUAGUUUUUGCUAUCAUUCCAGAACUGAACAACUUGAGGGUUUUAAAAGCAACAGAGUCAUUGAAUUUCAUAUUUAUCUUUCAAUAUGUGCCGAGGUUUCUUCAGAUUUGCUCCUGGUUGAAAAAAGAUCUAGGGUCUUCUAGUAUCCUGGCGAAAUCUACAUGGGCUAAUCUCUUCUUUUUUAUGCUGGCCAGCAUGUAAGUUCCAUGCCAUUUUGAUGUAAUCAGUGAACUUUUACUUGAAAAGGCUUGUACAUUUCUAUUUUUAUGGGAGGUUUGUAUGAGGUUGCAUACAGCUUAAGAAACUCAGAAGUUAUGAGAAACCAAAGCAUGAGACUAACCUAUGCACUCAGUUCCUUAUAAACCCUAAUUGCCUAUAAUUGUUACU